ACACAGAAGAGCCUCUGUCUUUCCGAGGGAAUCAGUUUGGGUCCAGCUGAGGGAGCCUACGGGAUGCCAAAGGGCAGGCAGCCUCCCCCCUGGCUGCAGGGAGUAGAGGCCCAGGGCGUCCAAACUGCCCGGACAGUGGUCAUCUUAAGGGAGCGCUGAGGAAGGUGGAUACAGGCUCUAAGGCUGGUGUUGGGACAAUCCUGUCUGACAUCCAUGUUCCUUCCCAUGGGAAGCAGUGAGAGGGGCAACAUUUCUGUCUCUAGACAAGGUGCAGAGUGUUACAGGUUGACUUGUGUCCCUCAGCCCCCACCACAAUUCAGACAUGGAAGUCCUACUCCCGGUACCCUGGCGUGAGGCCUUAUUAGGAAAUAGGGUUAUUGCUGAUGUCAUUAGUUGAGAUGAGGUAUUAGGGUGGGCCCUCGUCCCAAACAACAGGUGUUUUUAUAAGAAGAGGAAAUUGGGACACGGACACGCAGACAGGGGACACCAUGUGAAGACAGAGGCAGAGAUGGAGUUGCUGCUUUUACAAGCCAAGGAGCCCCAACAUUGCCAGGGAGCCCCCAAGAAGCUAGGGCAGAGGCCAGAACAGAUUCUGCCUCAUAGUCCUCACGGGGAGCUCGCCCUGCCGACACUUUGAUCUCAGACUUCUAGCCUCCAGAACUGUGAGACAAGGAAGUUUUGUUGUUGGACUAGCAAAGCGAUCCAGUGUGUUACACUGCUCAGCCCCGAGGGGCCUUGCACAACCUCUCCUCUCCGUGGGGAGCAGCUCCCGCGAGAGUUCUGGCUCCCUUACUGAUGCCAAGGGUGCAAGCCCACGGUCUCCCUGCUGCGCCCUGUCCACAGAGGCAGAAGCUGUGCUGAGGAAAAGAACACUGUUCAGAACACCUCAGGAAACAGGCCGCUCACCUCUCCUGCACUAGACCUAUGGGUAGAGUGUCUGGGGAUACCUGGGCCUGCUGGUGGGUUCUCUGCCCCGGAAAAUCAAAAAGGAGGUGCGGAGAAAAGGAGUCCUUUCACAGAAAAUCAAACCAACUGAUCAAAUAUUUAAGUUGCCUGAGUUGGAUCAUCCAACACACCACGGAGGAAGGAAAGAAAGAGACAGCGAAGGCUCUGCCCCCGGGAGUCUCAUAGCCCUGUCAGAGGAGCUAGGACUGUAUGUGCACGUGGCUUUUGGAGAACAGGAAGACGAAGGAGCAGUGAGAUCUGUAAAGAAACCCCUGGAGAAAAUAAGCAAUUUUAAGUCAAUUGGACCCUGGAGGGAGUGAUUUAGGUUAGAGGAGG
rnacentral:lncRNA from 1 species